rnacentral:rRNA from 1 species
AGAACGAACGCUGGCGGCAGGCCUAACACAUGCAAGUCGAACGCCCCGCAAGGGGAGUGGCAGACGGGUGAGUAACACGUGGGAACAUACCCUUUGGUUCGGAAUAACUCAGGGAAACUUGAGCUAAUACCGGAUAAGCCCGAGAGGGGAAAGAUUUAUCGCCGAAGGAUUGGCCCGCGUCCGAUUAGCUAGUUGGUGAGGUAACGGCUCACCAAGGCGACGAUCGGUAGCUGGUCUGAGAGGAUGAUCAGCCACAUUGGGACUGAGACACGGCCCAAACUCCUACGGGAGGCAGCAGUGGGGAAUAUUGGACAAUGGGCGAAAGCCUGAUCCAGCCAUGCCGCGUGAGUGAUGAAGGCCCUAGGGUUGUAAAGCUCUUUCGUCAGGGACGAUAAUGACGGUACCUGAAGAAGAAGCCCCGGCUAACUUCGUGCCAGCAGCCGC